GCUUCGGUGUUUUAAUUGUGGAGCGCGCCUUCAGCAUAGGCGAAAUGCGGGUUCAACUCCCGCCUGAGGUU